rnacentral:rRNA from 1 species
AAAGCGGUACGCGAGCUGGGUUCAGAACGUCGUGAGACAGUUCGGUCCCUAUCUGUCGUGGGCGCAGGAAAUUUGAGAGGAGCUGUCCUUAGUACGAGAGGACCGGGAUGGACGCACCGCUGGUGCACCAGUUGUUCCGCCAGGAGCACAGCUGGGUAGCUAUGUGCGGUCGGGAUAAGCGCUGAAAGCAUCUAAGCGUGAAGCCCCCCUCAAGAUGAGAUUUCCCACAGCAUAAGCUGGUAAGACCCCUUAAAGAUGAUGAGGUAGAUAGGUUCGGGGUGGAAGCGUGGCAACACGCGGAGCUGACGAAUACUAAUCGGUCGAGGGCUUAACCA